GGGAAUGUGGCUUAAUGGUAGAGUUUUUGCCUAAUAUGCAUGAAGCCCUGGGUUCAAUUCCUCAAUACCA
rnacentral:tRNA from 1 species